UGGGGAAUAUUGGACAAUGGGCGCAAGCCUGAUCCAGCCAUGCCGCGUGUGUGAAGAAGGCCUUCGGGUUGUAAAGCACUUUAAGUGGGGAGGAAGGUCUGUGUGUUAAUAGCGCACAGGAUUGACGUUACCCACAGAAUAAGCACCGGCUAACUCCGUGCCAGCAGCCGCGGUAAUACGGAGGGUGCAAGCGUUAAUCGGAAUUACUGGGCGUAAAGCGCACGUAGGUGGUUUGGUAAGUUGGAUGUGAAAGCCCUGGGCUCAACCUGGGAACUGCAUUCAAAACUGCCGAACUAGAGUACGAGAGAGGGGGGUAGAAUUUCAGGUGUAGCGGUGAAAUGCGUAGAUAUCUGAAGGAAUACCGGUGGCGAAGGCGGCCCCCUGGCUUGAUACUGACACU
rnacentral:rRNA from 1 species